UGAAUGUUGAAUAAUCUAACCGUAUAUGGUGACUUAGGAUUAUCGUGGACCACUAGUUGCCGUCUUAUAAAACCACGUCAAAUGUUGUUGAUAACCAUGUUUUUGCGGAAAAUUCUUUUUAAACUCCGUUGCCCUUUGUUUAAUUAUUUGAUUAAAGUUGAAAAUUGUAAUCUUUCUCUUACAAACGCCGAAAAUUCUCCGAUUAACCCAACUAAAUUGUAGAGUCAAAGCCCCGGAAUCUUUCAGAAAAAAAGGAGCACAUUUUUUCAGCUCCAACUGCAUUUCCUUUGUUACCUAACUGUGUAUCAUGUGUAUAGGCAGAACCCAACAAUCUUCUCUCUUACCCAUCUUCAUUUUUCUCAUUCUGGUUAGUUGUAUUUUGGUACCCAUAUCCAGCAGUGAUGAAGCAUCAUCAUAGGUCACCACACCACCAACAGAGGACUUGGGCUGAAAUAUGUUGUUUCGGUUGGUCCUGCAUACAGCUCUUCUGGGCAAAGGUGGUCAUGCGUAAGUGGCUUAACAUGGGGAGUUACGAGUCUGAUUACAGUGCUGACCCUGAUGAUGACGAUGAAGAUUCUGAGAGUGCUUCAGACAACGAAGAAUGGGGAGGACAGUCGCGGUUUGCAGACAACAGAGGUUAUGAUGAUGAAACUCCAUCUGAAUCUACAGAAUUUCUUCCCAAGUUAAGGAGGCAAAAGUCAUCAACUUUUAGAUCUCAGUAUAUAAACCAAAAGGAGUUGAAGAUAUGUGUUGGGACAUGGAACGUUGGAGGAAAACUUCCACCUGAUGACCUUGUUAUUGAUGAUUGGCUUGGUGUCAAUGAACCAGCUGACAUCUAUGUACUUGGUCUUCAAGAGAUUGUACCCUUAAAUCCUGGUAAUAUUUUUGGUGCUGAAGAUACUAGUCCUGUUCCAAAAUGGGAGAAUAUUAUUCGAGAAACACUGAAUAGAGUUCGACCUGAAAUACCAAAGAUAAAGUCCUUUAGUGACCCUCCCUCUCCAUCAAAAUUUAAGCCAUCAGAUGAUGUGCCUGAUAUAGAAGAAGAAAUAUUGCUUGAAAGUGAUAGUGACAUUGGUGAGGAAGUCCAUCCUUUGGCCGAAGACAACAAUUUUUGUGAUGGAGGUACUGAUGGAACAGCCAUGGAAGAAACUGAGACUACAAAUUUAUUAACUUCUGAUGCUGAUGAUAUUGUAAACUCCAAUUUGGCAGUUAAAACUGGUUUACAGAGACAGUUUUCUUUUCCAAAGAUGUUUGAUAGGCAACAGGGUUUGUCAGAAAACAUGGACACGUCAUUUUCCCAACAGGCCACUAAACUAACUCGAAUGCUUAGUGGGUCUGAAAGGAUUGGUUUGAGCUGGCCAGAGCCUCCACUGCAUCUGCUAUCUCAGAGAGUUUUGGAUAGACCAACUUCUUUUAAAUCAUUGAAAUCCUUUAAAUCAUCCAAGUCGUUCAAAGCAUAUAACUCUUUCAAGUCAAUUAUGGAUGAAAUUCCAGGGGCAGGAUUGAUUCCUGAAAUUGACCUUGAAGCUUUGAUAAAGCGAAAAAGAAGAUCUUCAUAUGUAAGGAUUGUUAGCAAGCAAAUGGUUGGGAUUUUCAUCACUGUAUGGGUUCGUCGGAGCUUGCGUAAACAUAUUCAAAAUUUAAAGGUUUCAACUGUUGGUGUUGGUGUUAUGGGCUAUAUUGGUAACAAGGGAUCAAUAUCUAUCAGUAUGUCCAUACAUCAGACGCUCUUUUGUUUCAUAUGUACCCACCUUACCUCAGGUGAAAAGGAAGGAGACGAACUUAAAAGGAAUGCAGAUGUUCAUGAAAUACUUCGUAGAACCCAAUUCCAUUCUCUUUCUUAUAUAGGGCUUCCCAAAAGAAUCCUUGAUCAUGAAAGAAUAAUUUGGUUGGGUGAUCUGAAUUAUCGUAUCAACUUAUCAAAUGUGGAAACAAAAGCUCUUAUCUCAAAAAAACAGUGGUCAAAAUUAGUUGAGAAAGACCAGCUCAUGCGAGAACUCAAAAACGGUGUGUUUGGAGGAUGGUCGGAAGGCAUAUUAAACUUUCCACCAACUUACAAGUAUGAGGUUAAUUCAGAUAAAUACUACGGAGAGGAUCCCAAAGUUGGAAAGCGCUCACCUGCAUGGUGUGAUCGUAUUCUUUCGUAUGGCAAGGGAAUGAAGUUGUUGUGUUACAGAAGGGCAGAGCUCAAACUGUCCGAUCACAGACCUGUGACAGCCACAUACAUGGUUGAGGUUGAAACGUUCUCUCCUAGGAAGCUACAGCGAGCUCUAACUUUCACUGAUGCAGAGAUAGAAAAUGAACCAGUCAUAACAAAUUUGAGUAAUUGGAAUUUAGCUGCUUAACUGGACAGGUUUUCAGAACUGCUAGUCCAGGCUGAUUAGGGCAAGUGUACCUAUAUUAGGAUUGCAUCAGGACAUUUCUCGAGUUGUAAAGGAGAAUAACUAGCAGAAUUUCAGGAGCAUAUGUGAUAGCUACUGCAACUUCUAACUCUCACACUACCACUACUAGAUAUUAGAUUCAUUCAUUUUUUGUUUCUUUUAAAUCUUUUUUUGCUGGAAAUGUUUGUAAAAUGAUUUUUCCUUUUAGUAAUCUUACCAAUAAAAUUUAGAGCUAGUAGUUUGAUUGAGAAUAUCCUGUAUAUGUACAUUGUUUGAGGUGUGCAUUGUAUUGUAUGUAUGCGAUCUUUAAGUGGAAGAGGAAGUGUUUCAUAUGUGUCUAUAAAAUAAAUAGGGACAUAUCUAUCA